GGCAGCACAGGUAGCAAUACUGGGUGGCGACCGGCAAACGGGUGCGGAACACGUACGCAACCUUCCUUCAAGCGGGGAAUAGCCCAGAGAAAUUUGGAUUAAUACCCCAUAAGAAUGUGACCUGGCAUCAGGUAGCAUUUAAAGAUUUAUCACUUGAAGAUGGGCGUGCGUCUGAUUAGGUAGUUGGUGAGGUAACGGCUCACCAAGCCGACGAUCAGUAACUGGCGUGAGAGCGCGACCAGUCACACGGGCACUGAGACACGGGCCCGACUCCUACGGGAGGCAGCAGUAAGGAAUAUUGGUCAAUGGACGCAAGUCUGAACCAGCCAUGCCGCGUGGAGGAUGAAGGCCCUCUGGGUUGUAAACUUCUUUUAUUUGGGACGAAACACUUCUUAUCUAUGGAGCUUGACGGUACCAGAUGAAUAAGCACCGGCUAACUCCGUGCCAGCAGCCGCGGUAAUACGGAGGGUGCAAGCGUUAUCCGGAUUCACUGGGUUUAAAGGGUGCGUAGGCGGACAUGUAAGUCCGUGGUGAAAUCUCUAAGCUUAACUUGGAAACUGCCAUGGAUACUAUAUGUCUUGAAUGUUGUGGAGGUUAGCGGAAUAUGUCAUGUAGCGGUGAAAUGCAUAGAUAUGACAUAGAACACCAAUUGCGAAG
rnacentral:rRNA from 1 species